CCUAAAAAAUACUCUCCCCACAUUCUCCUCGCCGCCUCCAGCACCCACCCUUUCGCAGUGGUUGGCCUCCCGACCCCUCCCUAUCUUCUCCCGCUAAUCCCCCCAUUCCCCUCGCCGCCGCCGCCACCGCCGUCGGCUGCCCAAGGUGAGACCCCAGCGCCCAUCUCCUCCUCCCCUCGCGGCUCUACUCUCUCGCCGCAGCUUUUAUUUUGAUCCGCACCCUCUCCUCGCCACGCUCCGCUCCUCACCGCGCCCCGGAUCUCGCCCCCAGGACCGUCGCCGACCCGCAGCCACCGCAGUGAUUACCUCUUCAAGCUAUUUCUUAUUGGAGACUCAGGUGUUGGCAAGUCAUGUCUUCUGUUAAGAUUUGCAGGUGAUCAACGAGGACUACUGCGGCCCGAUGGGAGUCAUGCUCUUCAACUACUCGGAGGCAGACUUCACCGUGAAGCCCCGCGACCGCGUCAUACAGAUUAUCGUCUAGGUGAUUGCGACGCAGGAGGUCCCCGGGGUGGAGGACCUCGACGCCACCGUCCGGAGGUCACCAAGGUGGAGGACGACGCCACCGUCCGGAGUUCCUCAAGGUGGAGGACCUCGACGCUUUGUACAUACAUCUAGAGAAGUGGUCUGGUUAGGUUGGUGGUGAAACGCUAGGGAAGGUACCAACCUUUUGAUAAUGGUUGUGUGUGUCCUCGUGAUCUCUUCGAUUUGAGAUGUUGAAUGUUGCAUCCAUGAACACUUCAAGUGUUAAGAUGGUUCUGUGAAAUUUAUUUUGCAUUGGACGU